UGCUCUUUCUGCAGCUGAGGCUUAGAUCUCUGGUGUUUUCCUUCAUAUUUAUGUGCUAUGCUUAUAUCUGCACCUUUCUUCAUCCUUCAGGCUCUCCUUCUUUCUGCCCACUUCCCUUACCUGGAGUUAAUAUUUCCUCGAUGGGACUGUUUCUUUAGGUUUCAUGCUAUCCCCAGCUUCUUCUACAUCUUCUUCGUAAAACACUAUAAAGGAACGUGCUCAUCCGACACAGUCAAACUCUGGUCUAGCUGGCUUUGAAUUAAUCCCGUUCAAGUCUUCAUCGAUCUUUUGUGUUACUGCAAGUAUUCAUUUUUGUCUCUGAAGACUUUUUAUUUUUUUUUUUUGCUUUGAUUUGUCCUAGAGAGGUUGGGGUCUCCCGUGGUAGCUAGAUUCCUUCCGGAUCACAAGGCCUCGCACGUGUUCCAAACAUGUUUGAACCACUGGAUAUAGGCCACAUAGUAAAAAAAUCUGCACAUAAAUCUAUAGUUAAUUGCCCUUGUUUCUCUGUUCCACUUGGUUCUGGUGUCCCUUUUCUGAACUUCUCUUUUAACCCGGUGAUGAAGACCUAUUUAAAUUUUCGUCGAUGCCAUAUAUAUGUGUUCUUUUGGAUGAAAAUGAAGGGAAGCAACAGUUGCAUGGAGGGCCUGUCAGUCGUUGUUUGCGGAUGUAGCAUCAUCAAGAUUCACAAGCAGAUGCGGGUACGAUCGAUCUAUACUGAUCUCUGUGAGUGCCAAAGCCAUAGUCCUUUGGAAGUGAGAAUCUUGAUGAUGCUGCAUCGGCCAUAAACGGCUUUAAGGUAAACUAUGGGCACUAUUGAUUAAAAGGGAAAAGAUAAAAGGUAGAGAGGGAGAGGCACACAUAAUUCAGACCUUCAAAGACAGUGUCUGCUCCGCACAAUUAAAUAUCAACAGGUGACUCUUCCCACUUUCCUUUCUGUCGUUGUCAGGUGGGAUUUAAUUAUAUUCUCAUUUCCAAUUCAACUAAUACCAAUUUUUUUAAAUGUUAAUAGUGGCACAUCAACGGAUGGCCUGGCCUCGCUUCUUAUGCUUUAUUUUUACACGAUGUAUAGCUCUCUUCUGCCUUUGCUGCAGACAAUCCUAGGUUAUCAGAUGCAGCUAUUUUGCAGGCUGAUCGGUUAAGUGGCUAUUAGGUCUUUUGCGUGCUGAGCGACUUCACAGAUCUAUCAUAUAUUUAUAUCAGAAAUAUAGAAUGUUUCAGUUUCCUGAUCCAGGCCCGGAGAAAUCGCUCCACCUAAAUUAAGAGGGAUUUAGAAAUUGAUCAGGGAGAGAAUUCAGAUCUAUUCUUGAGAUGCCAAAUCACGGACAUUUUCUUAAGUCGAUGUGUUUCCCGAUCCACAGGUUGGGUUUAGCAUGCACCAAUAAUAAUAUGGGACAUGCUUUUGUUGGGUCAGGGGUGGACCAGCACAGCCAGAUGGAGAUCAUAUAUAGUUGGAUGCUCUGUGUUAGCAUAUACUCUAUGAAACGUACGUAUGGAUGAGAUAUCUCUCAGUUCUUGUAUAUUAUUCACCUUUUGAAUUUAGAUGUGCAUAUAUUGUGCUAAAAAAUAAAAAUAAAAAUGUCUUUUCAAGCAUUAUACACCUGUGACUGUGUGUGUUCAGUCUAUUCAAGAUCAUGAAAAUCUGUGUGCACCCAUCACUCUCUACUCUCUAGCUAGCCUUGGUUCACAUAUUCUUCUGCGCUUAAGACGGUUUUGCCUUGCAUAUCGUAUACGUUUCUGUGACUCUAAGCACACCCAAAUGUUGAAAAGUAAAAACAGUGGAAGAAUAUAAUAUGUAAAUAUAUAAGGUCACCGACCAUAAUCCUCAAAUCUUCUCGAUCAUAAAUAGGGCAAUAUCUAAUGUUUUUUCUUGGAUUUUUGGUAUCCAAUAUGCAUUGGAUGACAGUGUUGUCUUCGUGAUAUUCAAGGGCAGCUAGUUAUAUGUUACCAUCAUAUUUGGAGCAAUAUUUUUCGCAUUUAGGUCAUGAUACUAAGUGGUAUUAUUUCAGGAGUGGGCUUUUAGAUAUAAGCUGAGUCAAAUAAUUAAUACAGUGGUUGGUCUGAAUGGAGUACAUAUGGUCACAGGGAGCAGCUUGCACAAUCUUUUAAAUUGAGUGGUCUCUUCUGAACUAAUCGAGUACUCUGGCAAUGCCAUCAAACACAUGCACUCUUUGUGGUUCCCAGAUGUUUAAGUUGCAUGUCAGCAAUUCAAUGAUUCAAGAAUCCAAACAUAUAUAUGCACAUUUCCUCAUCGUGGUAAUUGGUAAAGUCAGUACAUGCAUGAAUGGUGCAACUUUUCUCAGGACUUCGUAUGCAGAAUUCAACUGUCCGUACACACUUGUUAAUGAGAGCUCAUCAUAUAUAUAUAUGCAAUAUAUUAAUUGUUGGUUAUGUUUAUGUGUGUUGUAUUAAAUUUGUAGGUCUUUUGUGGUUAAGUACUUCUGCAUGCAAUAGAAGCAAUUAACCGUUGAAGAUAACAAUUGCUUUACUGCUACACGUAAGCACAUCGAAUAGUAUUCUGGAUAUAACAACAUGUAUAGAUCUUAUUCGUUCACAAAACAUUAUUCCCACACAGCCUUAUCUGUGUGUGCGCGUAUAUAAAGGCUGCGAUGCAUGCAGAGCGCAUUUGAACUGCUUACUUGGCCCCAUGUCGUUUGAUGUGAUGAUGAGAUUGUGACUAUUGGUUACUGAAAACCCAUACUCAUAGUUUUCAAUGAAGACUGGUUAAUAUUUCAUCGUGAUCGCGUUGCAGAGGUAGCUAGCUAACUAGAUAAGCUGAUCGGACGUUUGGCCUCAAAAGGGACACGUCCACAUGCCUCGAUUUUCUGCAUUUGGUGCAUUGAUCCAUCAUCUAAUAACCGGACUAUAACUUUUAUAAAUAAGAUGGCAUGAUAACUAUCGCUGGUGAGAAAGGAACCUUUUGUUCUCUGUAUUUGUGAUGGAUUCUGCUUAUGCUGCAUAUCAGUGAGAAGGACAAUUUAAACUAUGAGAUACAUAUCCUCCUAAUUAUAUAACCACCAGAUUCUGAGUUUUCAAUCAGCUAUGCCAGUGGUUUCCACAAUUCUCUAUUUUCUUUCCUGUGAGGUUUGCUUUGCGCACCCCUUUUUAUUUGCUGAUGAUGAGCUUUGACAGGUUGUGCUUCGUUACCCUUUUGAAGGCACCAAAGCCUUCCCCCCAUAAUCACCAUAUUUUGAUGCAACCUCGAUCAGACAGAGCCUAGCGUACAAGUUGAACAAUAUCACAGGCUUAGACAUGGAAAACGAGGAGAAAAUGAAAGAGCACCGUAAUGGUGGGGGGUUUGAAAUAAUGUCGUACAUGCGCAGAUGCAAGCAGGGAUGGCAGAGAUGGAGCCAAGAAUGUAACGUAAAAUUUAAUGGGCUUCCACGAUGCAGAUAAAGUGCUGGAUGAAUGAUGAAUGGUGUGUGAGAGAGGAAGAAAGAAAAGGAGAGAGAGAGUUUGAGUGAGAAAGAAGAAGAGGGAGGGAGAUGGGAAGGGUUUUGGGAAUUGGUCCCCAGUGGCAGAGAACGGCAGGCUGGGUGGGUGUACAUGUGGCAGGCAUGCAACUGAAGGACAGUGAUGGACCCCAUUCGCUAGAUCUUUUCAGACAACACAAUCCCUCCCUGUUCCCCCCACAUUUCAAUAAUUAUUCUGCCCUCACUCCCCACCCCACUCCUUCCCUUCCCUUUCCCCUUUUCCCUUUCCCCAUCGAGUAAACCAUUAUUUGCACUUACAGGACUUCUUUGUAUUCACAACUAAUAAGUACGUUUAUAUAAAUUGAUAUAAAUUUUUUUACAUAUAUUUAUUUCAAACAAGCCCAUAUUAGACUAUUGAGUUGGAAUUCCAGUUGAGGUAACACCCAAUAGAAGAUAGUUGUUCCUAUAUUUGAAGUUGUAUUGAACUCUAACUAAUUCUAAUUCGAGUUAGGCUGGACAU